AUCUAACUGACAAGUCUCAAAGAGAACGAAACGCGCUUCAUGGAU
rfam:Schistosoma margrebowiei strain Zambia genome assembly, scaffold: SMRZ_contig0000211